rnacentral:rRNA from 1 species
AGGACGAACGCUGGCGGCGUGCUUAACACAUGCAAGUCGAGCGGAAAGGCCCUUCGGGGUACUCGAGCGGCGAACGGGUGAGUAACACGUGAGUAACCUGCCCUGGACUUUGGGAUAACCCUCGGAAACGGGGGCUAAUACCGAAUACGACUUCUGCCCGCAUGGGUGGUGGUGGAAAGUUUUUCGGUCUGGGAUGGGCUCGCGGCCUAUCAGCUUGUUGGUGGGGUGAUGGCCUACCAAAGGCGACGACGGGUAG